UCCUGUGACUUAACUGGUUGCUGCCGUUUUUCUUUUUGUUAUUUUCUUGGAUGGGUAGGUGGCCUGGCUUCUGGCCAUCUGCCCUCCUCCUGGCUGCUAAGCAUCAGUGUGUGUGUUGCUUGGCCUGAUUGCCUGAGGUCCCUCCUGGUCAGACUGCAGCUGAAGAUGCCAAAAGAAGAUGAUGUUGGAUUGCUGUGGAGAAAAUCUGAAUUCCUGCUAGGAACUGCUGAUUCAUUCAAGGACUAUCUUCUUUCAAUUCAAGCUCUUGUUAAGUUUUCCAUUACUUACUUGAUCAAGUAGUGCAAGAGACCUUUUUUCAAGACCCA